rnacentral:rRNA from 1 species
UGGCUCAGAUUGAACGCUGGCGGCAUGCCUUACACAUGCAAGUCGAACGGCAGCACGGACUUCGGUCUGGUGGCGAGUGGCGAACGGGUGAGUAAUGUAUCGGAACGUACCUUUCAGUGGGGGAUAACGUAGCGAAAGUUACGCUAAUACCGCAUAUUCUGUGAGCAGGAAAGCAGGGGAUCGCAAGACCUUGCGCUGAUUGAGCGGCCGAUAUCAGAUUAGCUAGUUGGUGGGGUAAAGGCCUACCAAGGCUACGAUCUGUAGCGGGUCUGAGAGGAUGAUCCGCCACACUGGAACUGAGACACGGUCCAGACUCCUACGGGAGGCAGCAGUGGGGAAUUUUGGACAAUGGGGGCAACCCUGAUCCAGCCAUGCCGCGUGAGUGAAGAAGGCCUUCGGGUUGUAAAGCUCUUUCGGCCGGGAAGAAAUCGCAUAGGUUAAUACCCUGUGUGGAUGACGGUACCGGAAUAAGAAGCACCGGCUAACUACGUGCCAGCAGCCGCGGUAAUACGUAGGGUGCGAGCGUUAAUCGGAAUUACUGGGCGUAAAGCGUGCGCAGGCGGUUUCGUAAGACAGAGGUGAAAUCCCCGGGCUCAACCUGGGAACUGCCUUUGUGACUGCGAAGCUAGAGUACGGCAGAGGGGGGUGGAAUUCCACGUGUAGCAGUGAAAUGCGUAGAGAUGUGGAGGAACACCGAUGGCGAAGGCAGCCCCCUGGGCCGAUACUGACGCUCAUGCACGAAAGCGUGGGUAGCAAACAGGAUUAGAUACCCUGGUAGUCCACGCCCUAAACGAUGUCAACUAGGUGUUGGGUGGGUAAAACCAUUUAGUACCGUAGCUAACGCGUGAAGUUGACCGCCUGGGGAGUACGGCCGCAAGGUUAAAACUCAAAGGAAUUGACGGGGACCCGCACAAGCGGUGGAUGAUGUGGAUUAAUUCGAUGCAACGCGAAAAACCUUACCUACCCUUGACAUGUUCAGAAUCCCGGAGAGAUUUGGGAGUGCCCGAAAGGGAGCUGGAACACAGGUGCUGCAUGGCUGUCGUCAGCUCGUGUCGUGAGAUGUUGGGUUAAGUCCCGCAACGAGCGCAACCCUUGUCGUUAAUUGCCAUCAUUUAGUUGGGCACUUUAACGAGACUGCCGGUGACAAACCGGAGGAAGGUGGGGAUGACGUCAAGUCCUCAUGGCCCUUAUGGGUAGGGCUUCACACGUCAUACAAUGGUCGGUACAGAGGGUUGCCAAGCCGCGAGGUGGAGCCAAUCCCAGAAAGCCGAUCGUAGUCCGGAUUGCAGGCUGCAACUCGCCUGCAUGAAGUCGGAAUCGCUAGUAAUCGCGGAUCAGCAUGUCGCGGUGAAUACGUUCCCGGGUCUUGUACACACCGCCCGUCACACCAUGGGAGCGGGUUCCGCCAGAAGUAGGUAGCCUAACCGCAAGGGGGGCGCUUACCACGGCGGGGUUCGUGACUGGGGUGAAGUCGUAACAAGGUAGCCGUAGGGGAACCUGCGGCUGGAU